rnacentral:rRNA from 1 species
AGUGAACGCUGGCGGUAGGCCUAACACAUGCAAGUCGAACGGCAGCACAGGAGAGCUUGCUCUCUGGGUGGCGAGUGGCGGACGGGUGAGGAAUACAUCGGAAUCUACUCUGUCGUGGGGGAUAACGUAGGGAAACUUACGCUAAUACCGCAUACGACCCACGGGUGAAAGCAGGGGACCUUCGGGCCUUGCGCGAUUGAAUGAGCCGAUGUCGGAUUAGCUAGUUGGCGGGGUAAAGGCCCACCAAGGCGACGAUCCGUAGCUGGUCUGAGAGGAUGAUCAGCCACACUGGAACUGAGACACGGUCCAGACUCCUACGGGAGGCAGCAGUGGGGAAUAUUGGACAAUGGGCGCAAGCCUGAUCCAGCCAUACCGCGUGGGUGAAGAAGGCCUUCGGGUUGUAAAGCCCUUUUGUUGGGAAAGAAAUCCAGCUGGCUAAUACCCGGUUGGGAUGACGGUACCCAAAGAAUAAGCACCGGCUAACUUCGUGCCAGCCGCCGCCGUAA